rnacentral:rRNA from 1 species
ACGAACCUUCGGGUUAGUGGCGGACGGGUGAGUAACGCGUGAGAAUCUGCCCUCAGGAGGGGGAUAACGGCUGGAAACGGCCGCUAAUACCCCAUAUGCCGAGAGGUGAAAUGAAUUUCGCCUGAGGAUGAGCUCGCGUCUGAUUAGCUAGUUGGUGUGGUAAAGGCUCACCAAGGCAUCGAUCAGUAGCUGGUCUGAGAGGAUGAUCAGCCACACUGGGACUGAGACACGGCCCAGACUCCUACGGGAGGCAGCAGUGGGGAAUUUUCCGCAAUGGGCGCAAGCCUGACGGAGCAACGCCGCGUGAGGGAUGAAGGCCUCUGGGCUGUAAACCUCUUUUAUCAAGGAAGAAGAUCUGACGGUACUUGAUGAAUAAGCCACGGCUAAUUCCGUGCCAGCAGCCGCGGUAAUACGGGAGUGGCAAGCGUUAUCCGGAAUUAUUGGGCGUAAAGCGUCCGCAGGCGGUCUUGAAAGUCUGUUGUUAAAGCGUGGAGCUCAACUCCAUUUCAGCAAUGGAAACUAGAAGACUACAGUGUGGUAGGGGCAGAGGGAAUUCCCGGUGUAGCGGUGAAAUGCGUAGAUAUCGGGAAGAACACCAGUGGCGAAGGCGCUCUGCUGGGCCAUAACUGACGCUCAUGGACGAAAGCCAGGGGAGCGAAAGGGAUUAGAUACCCCUGUAGUCCUGGCCGUAAACGAUGAACACUAGGUGUCGGGGGAAUCGACCCCCUCGGUGUCGUAGCCAACGCGUUAAGUGUUCCGCCUGGGGAGUACGCACGCAAGUGUGAAACUCAAAGGAAUUGACUGGGGCCCCCACAAGCGGUGGA